AAAAAUCCACGAGAUACAGAACCAGUGUUCCAUUGAAGAAUCGACAAAAGACUUAAUAAAUCCAUACCUAUUCUUCUUCUCUUUUUCCAAUCAAGCAGAAUAGUAAGCUCUCUGAUUUCAAAUUGUUUUCAUAUCAGAUUUUUGAAGACAUCAGAUGCUUAAGAUGAUUCAUUGCCACAAUAUUAAUAACAAGGGUAUCCUCUUACUUGAUUUCUUGCAUGAAGAGCAUCUUCAGAAGAAAAAAAAAGCUCAACCUCAACAGGAAUACAAACUUCAGCAUCAGAGAAUAGCAAAGACAGUAAUAUUUGCCCUAAGUCAUUGGUGUGGACAUUUGAAACAAAAAUCAGAUGACGAGAGCCCAAGCAUCAUAACUAUUAAACGGAAAGUAAACAGAUAUGCUGAGCCAUCCAGUUCAAUUGAUUAAUUCUGCCUUCUCCCCGACGGGUUCAUCAAUAAUUAAAUUAGUUGCAGAACGCGAUCUAUCAGAGCUGCAUCCAUCUAAAUAUCCAUGCAAAACACAGGACGCUUGCCACGUGAAGUGAAAGGAAGAAAAAAAAAAAAAGCAAUCAAUGCAUCCAGAAAUAAGACCUUGACUGUGAUGAAUUUUGCAUCAAAACCAACAAUAAUUGCUAUUCAAACUGAUGCAACCAGCAGAGAGUUAGGGACUGAGACAGAGUAGCAAAAGAGGAUUGAGAAUUGUCAACAUGCCACUG